CUCUCAAAGAGUCGAGUUGUUUGGGAAUGCGACUCAAAAUGGGUGGUAAAUUCCAUCUAAAGCUAAAUAUUGGCGAGAGACCGAUAGCGAACAAGUACCGUGAGGGAAAGAUGGAAAGCACUUUGGAAAGAGAGUUAAACAGUACGUGAAAUUGUUGAAAGGGAAACGRUUGAAGUCAGUCGGUUGGGCCAGAACUCAGCCGGACUUUUGCCUGGUGCAUUUUCUGGUUGACGGGCCAGCAUCAAUUUUGAUCGCUGGAUAAAGGCCUUGGGAAUGUGGCACCUUCGGGUGUGUUAUAGCCCUUGGUUGUAUACAGUGGUUGGGAUUGAGGAUCACAGCAUGCCUUUACGGCCGGGGUUUGCCCACGUUCAUGCUUAGGAUGCUGGCGUAAUGGCUUUAAACGACCCGUCUUGAAACACGGACCAAGGAGUCUAACAUGCCUGCGAGUGUUUGGGUGGAAAACCCGAGCGCGCAAUGAAAGUGAAAGUUGGGAUCCCUGUCGCGGGGAGCACCGACGCCCGGACCAGACCUUUUGUGACGGAUCCGCGGUAGAGCAUGUAUGUUGGGACCCGAAAGAUGGUGAACUAUGCCUGAAUAGGGUGAAGCCAGAGGAAACUCUGGUGGAGGCUCGUAGCGAUUCUGACGUGCAAAUCGAUCGUCAAAUUUGGGUAUAGGGGCG
rnacentral:rRNA from 1 species